rnacentral:rRNA from 1 species
ACGGAAGGCAGCAGUAGGGAAUCUUCGGCAAUGGGGGCAACCCUGACCGAGCAACGCCGCGUGAGUGAAGAAGGUUUUCGGAUCGUAAAGCUCUGUUGUAAGAGAAGAACGUGUGUGAGCGUGGUAAGUUCACACAGUGACGGUAACUUACCAGAAAGGGACGGCUAACUACGUGCCAGCAGCCGCGGUAAUACGUAGGUCCCGAGCGUUGGCCGGAUUUAUUGGGCGUAAAGCGAGCGCAGGCGGUUUACUAAGUCUGAAGUUAGAGGCAGGUGCUUAACCAUUGUUCGCUUUGGAAACUGUUAGACUUGAGUGCAGAAGGGGAGAGUGGAAUUCCAGGUGUAGCGGUGAAAUGCGUAGAUAUAUGGAGGAACACCGGUGGCGAAAGCGGCCCUCUGGUCUGUAACUGACGCUGAGGCUCGAAAGCGUGGGGAGCAAACAGGAUUAGAUACCCUGGUA